GACGAACGCUGGCGGCGUGCUUAACACAUGCAAGUCGAACGGAAAGGCCCUGCUUUUGUGGGGUGCUCGAGUGGCGAACGGGUGAGUAACACGUGAGUAACCUGCCCUUGACUUUGGGAUAACUUCAGGAAACUGGUGCUAAUACCGGAUAGGAGCUCCUGCUGCAUGGUGGGGGUUGGAAAGUUUCGGCGGUUGGGGCUGGACUCGCGGCUUAUCAGCUUGUUGGUGGGGUAGUGGCUUACCAAGGCUUUGACGGGUAGCCGGCCUGAGAGGGUGACCGGCCACAUUGGGACUGAGAUACGGCCCAGACUCCUACGGGAGGCAGCAGUGGGGAAUAUGGCACAAUGGGCGGACGCCUGAUGCAGCAACGCCGCGUGCGGGAUGACGGCCUUCGGGUUGUAAACCGCUUUCGCCUGUGACGAAGCGUGAGUGACGGUAAUGGGUAAAGAAGCACCGGCUAACUACGUG
rnacentral:rRNA from 1 species